rnacentral:ncRNA from 1 species
GCCGCAACAUCCCCGUGAGCGGGUUCCGCAAGGAAAGCGCGCUCACUGCGGC